rnacentral:lncRNA from 12 species
CCUGCCUGUGCAUUCCUGCCUGCUCUCAAGUCUGUGCUCCCACAGAUCCUGUGAGUGCCCCCGCUCCCCUUGGGCCGUCAUACUUACUGUAAGCUCAGUCGGAGUGGGUUUCCUUUGCUUGACACCAAAACCAUAACGGCUACAUCGUUGUUUUAUAUUUUAUUUUAUUACUUUAUUUUUUCAUUGUUGCUUUUUAAAACUUAGACAUCUUUUUCCUUAAAAGUGAUAGAAUUAGUCCACCUCCAAUGGCAUCUUACACAGAACCUCAUUAAAUAAUGCAGGGGAAAUUGGAGCUGGUCUGGUGAGUUAUCUGGUCUUCCCUCCGCCUCAUUACGUAUAACCCAUUUCCCACACCAGCGCCUGAGAGGAGCGUAAGGCCUCAGGAAGCCCAUUUAUAACCACUAGCUUCAAGUACUGUAGGCACCUGUUAAAUUGUAACCUGAAGGUAGACUGUGUGAAACCAUCAUCAGGCAUUCAUACCUUAUUUGGAAGGGAUUUAUAUGAUUUCCUGCCCAGUGAGCAAUCAGAUAUCCAAAGAAGCAAGCAGCAUAAGGCUUGGCAGGAAGGUACGAGUCCUGGGAAGGAUAUACCUACACCUGGGGUCACGACUUCAAAUGCCUGCAAUGCCAGUUUUCAUCGCCAUGUGUUCGACUUUAGUGUCCUCGGAUCUAAGAAUUAUACACGUCAGCAUGUAUUUUUGCAGAUAAUGGGUGCAUUGUCUGGAGCUAUAGUGAAGUUCUCUCCGUGCUAUUCACAUGAUGGACUGGCGCUUCUCUUCAUGUGAACGCACCACGAGGGGAACAUCUUGCUAGCAGCAUCCAGAGCCUUCUCUCUGUAGUCUGAACGACUGCUGUGGAUUGGGGAUCUUGUCUCUCCCCGUUCGCGGAGGAUUCUGAGGAGCUGGGAGCUGGCAGCCCAAAUUCUCCCUUGAUGUCUCCCCGCGUAGCUGAGAUCUUAAACAGAGUUGGAACUGUUUCUUUUUGCAAUCUCUCUGUACCCUCCUGCCCUGUUCCCCUGGCCCCGGACCGUGGGUUUCACUCCCAUUUUUCCUAUCCUCACCCGCCGCUGAGCCGUAAGUAAAAUAUUCAGAAGUGGAGGUAUUCUGGGGUGGCGUGCUCUCUUCAACUGGGACCCUAAUUUCCCCCUUCAAUUUACUUUUUGCACAGCUUGAUACGCAUCAGUGGCACUAAAUAAAUAAGCCAUAAUUAAUACA